rnacentral:tRNA from 1 species
GGGGCUGUCGGCUAGUUUGGCCUAGGCUACGAGACUUGGGCUCUCGUGACCCCGGUUCAAAUCCGGGCAGCCCCA